AUAAUACUUAACUUUUUUCCUGCUUUUUUACUUGCUUGUUCUCUCUCGCUUUUGGUUCGGCCGUCGAUCCGUUUGCCUUCUCCUUUCGCUUUCGUUUCCCUGCUUAUCUUUCGCUUUCGCCCCCUCUCUUCCUUCAACCGUUUUUUUCUUAGAGAAGCGGCCUGGGCCCUUCGGACGUUCCCGUGUGGCCUUUCGGCCCCGGGGACCUUCCGUUGGCCUUUUCGGCGGGCUUCUCUGGUUUUCGUUUGCUCGGGGAAGCGGCCUGGGCCGUG
rnacentral:lncRNA from 1 species